GACGAACGCUGGCGGCGUGCUUAACACAUGCAAGUCGAACGGAAAGGCCCUGCUUUUGUGGGGUGCUCGAGUGGCGAACGGGUGAGUAACACGUGAGUAACCUGCCCUUGACUUUGGGAUAACUUCAGGAAACUGGGGAUAAUACCGGAUAGGAGCUCCUGCUGCAUGGUGGGGGUUGGAAAGUUUCGGCGGUUGGGGAUGGACUCGCGGCUUAUCAGCUUGUUGGGGGGGUAGUGGCUUACCAAGGCUUUGGCGGGUAGCCGGCCUGAGAGGGUGACCGGCCACAUUGGGCCUGCGAUACGGCCCAGACUCCUACGGGGGGCAGCAGUGGGGAAUCUUGCACAAUGGGCGGAAGCCUGAUGCAGCAACGCCGCGUGCGGGAUGACGGCCUUCGGGUUGUAAACCGCUUUCGCCUGUGACGAAGCGUGAGUGACGGUAAUGGGUAAAGAAGCACCGGCUAACUACGUG
rnacentral:rRNA from 1 species